UGCAGUCGAACGGUAACAGGAAAGCAAGCUUGCUUGUUUCGCUGACGAGUGGCGGACGGGUGAGUAAUGUCUGGGAAACUGCCUGAUGGAGGGGGAUAACUACUGGAAACGGUAGCUAAUACCGCAUAACGUCGCAAGACCAAAGAGGGGGACCUUCGGGCCUCUUGCCAUCGGAUGUGCCCAGAUGGGAUUAGCUAGUAGGUGGGGUAACGGCUCACCUAGGCGACGAUCCCUAGCUGGUCUGAGAGGAUGACCAGCCACACUGGAACUGAGACACGGUCCAGACUCCUACGGGAGGCAGCAGUGGGGAAUAUUGCACAAUGGGCGCAAGCCUGAUGCAGCCAUGCCGCGUGUAUGAAGAAGGCCUUCGGGUUGUAAAGUACUUUCAGCGGGGAGGAAGGGAGUAAAGUUAAUACCUUUGCUCAUUGACGUUACCCGCAGAAGAAGCACCGGCUAACUCCGUGCCAGCAGCCGCGGUAAUACGGAGGGUGCAAGCGUUAAUCGGAAUUACUGGGCGUAAAGCGCACGCAGGCGGUUUGUUAAGUCAGAUGUGAAAUCCCCGGGCUCAACCUGGGAACUGCAUCUGAUACUGGCAAGCUUGAGUCUCGUAGAGGGGGGUAGAAUUCCAGGUGUAGCGGUGAAAUGCGUAGAGAUCUGGAGGAAUACCGGUGGCGAAGGCGGCCCCCUGGACGAAGACUGACGCUCAGGUGCGAAAGCGUGGGGAGCAAACAGGAUUAGAUACCCUGGUAGUCCACGCCGUAAACGAUGUCGACUUGGAGGUUGUGCCCUUGAGGCGUGGCUUCCGGAGCUAACGCGUUAAGUCGACCGCCUGGGGGAGUACGGCCGCAAGGUUAAAACUCAAAUGAAUUGACGGGGGCCCGCACAAGCGGUGGAGCAUGUGGUUUAAUUCGAUGCAACGCGAAGAACCUUACCUGGUCUUGACAUCCACGGAAGUUUUCAGAGAUGAGAAUGUGCCUUCGGGAACCGUGAGACAGGUGCUGCAUGGCUGUCGUCAGCUCGUGUUGUGAAAUGUUUGGGUUAAGUCCCGCAACGAGCGCAACCCUUAUCCUUUGUUGGCCGGCGGUCCGGCCCGGGAACUCCAAAGGAAACUGCCAGUGAUAAACUGGGAGGAAAGGUGGGGGAUGAACGUCCAGUUCAUCAUGGGCCCUUACGAACCAGGGGCU
rnacentral:rRNA from 1 species